rnacentral:rRNA from 1 species
AUUGAACGCUGGCGGCAGGCUUAACACAUGCAAGUCGAGCGGGGUGAUGGUGCUUGCACUAUCACUUAGCGGCGGACGGGUGAGUAAUGCUUAGGAAUCUGCCUAUUAGUGGGGGACAACAUCUCGAAAGGGAUGCUAAUACCGCAUACGUCCUACGGGAGAAAGCAGGGGAUCACUUGUGACCUUGCGCUAAUAGAUGAGCCUAAGUCGGAUUAGCUGGUUGGUGGGGUAAAGGCCUACCAAGGCGACGAUCUGUAGCGGGUCUGAGAGGAUGAUCCGACACACUGGGACUGAGACACGGCCCAGACUCCUACGGGAGGCAGCAGUGGGGAAUAUUGGACAAUGGGGGGAACCCUGAUCCAGCCAUGCCGCGUGUGUGAAGAAGGCCUUAUGGUUGUAAAGCACUUUAAGCGAGGAGGAGGCUCUUUUGGUUAAUACCCAAGAUGAGUGGACGUUACUCGCAGAAUAAGCACCGGCUAACUCUGUGCCAGCAGCCGCAGUAA